rnacentral:rRNA from 1 species
CAUGCAGGCCGAGCGGAUAGGCCGCAACCUUUGGUUGGGGUACUCGAGCGGCGAACGGGUGAGUAACGCGUGAGUAAUCUGCCCUCCACUCUGGGAUAAGCCUUGGAAACGGGGUCUAAUACCGGAUAUGACCUGCCUCCGCAUGGGGGUGGGUGGAAAGUGUUUUAGCGGUGGGGGAUGUGCUCGCGGCCUAUCAUCUUGUUGGUUGGGGUAAUGGCCUACCAAGGCUUUGACGGGUAGCCGGCCUGAGACGGUGACCGGCCACACUGGGACUGAAACACGGCCCAGACUCCUACGGGAGGUACUCCCGUGGAAUAUUGGACAAUGGGCGGAAGCCUGAUCCACCCACGCCUCAUGGGGAAUGAAAGCCUUCCGAUUGUAAACAUCUUUCACUACCGAUUAACCUCUUUGCGACCGUGAGUACACAAGAAGCACCCGUCUUCUACGUGCCUGCUGGCCGCGAUUAUACCUAGUGGUGCUAGCGUUGUCCGGAAUUAUUGGGCGUUAAGGGGUCCUGAGAAGAUCUGUAGCGCCCGAAGUGUUUACAUCUGGAUCAACCGUUUGCUUGCUAUGCAUACGGGCAUAGUUGAGGAUUGCACGCUAGAAUGUAAUUCCUGAUGUGCGCUGAAUGCACACAUAUCAUGAGGAGUCCGCUCUCGAAGCGGUACUCUGGAAUGUUGGAGGUCAUUAGCCACUAUGGGAGUAACCGAUUCAUUCCUGUAGUUACACGUAACAUCGCCCUAGUGUGGGUCUUUCUCGGUUCAUACCCAUCUCAACGUUAUCGCCAGCCAGGGAGACGCCACAGUUAUAUCAAUGAUUUCGGUAACGACCAUCGUUAACCUGUCGAUAGCUGUUAUGAAGUAUUUCACUUGGUAU